rnacentral:RNase_P_RNA from 1 species
AGGGGUGAGCGGACGAUCGCUCCUUUUACUUUAAGUAGGAGGAGAGGAAAGUCCGGACUUCGUGAAAGGAUAGUGGGUAAUGCCCACCGCUUCGCUUCGGCGAAGUAGGGAAAGUGCCACAGAGACAAUACUAGUCCGCUUUUAGCGGCUGAAAGGUGAAAAGAAAUUAGGUGUUUAAAGGGAAACUUUUAAGCUACUUUUUUCGGCCUCCGGUGACGGAGAUGCCGUGGUAAACCCUAUCUGAAGCAAGAGCAAACUUAUCUUUUUUAAGAUAAGCCAAAGUGGCUCGCUUGAACUAGUUGGUAACAACUAGUCUUAGAUAAAUGAUCGUUAGAACAGAAUCCGGCUUACAGCUGCCCCGAAAU